rnacentral:sRNA from 1 species
ACCGGUGUUCGAAUCCCGCAGGCGGGUACA